rnacentral:miRNA from 1 species
GUAGAUGAUUUCAAAAAUCACGCGUCCUGACCCG